GGUCAACAGAAGUUCUGCUCCAGUAACUCUCCCAUGGAGGCCAUUAUUGGUUGUUAAAUCAUGACCUCUGACCUUAACCUGCACUAAGUCAGGCCUGCAGGGCGUUAGACGUUGUUCUGAAAUGGCAUGGUGUGUUGUUAGCUAGCUUCUGGCAGGUUCUGCUGAGAUGAUUUAUGGAUUCUGGCUGCUAAAAUAAUGUUGAGGUGUUACUUCUGAACACAAGGCCAUCUCCCCUUAACCCUCAGGUGAGGGGCGUGUCCUGAUGCCUUGAGGGUCACCAACUAAAAUCAUCCUUUGAAGACAAGCUUUUGUAUUGACCUGAUUUACUUAGCAAACAUUGAACUUUGACUACAAAGUUCAUCCUUGAGCAAGUACUCUAGUACAUGAGAGCGGUGAUGCUUGUAGACUUAAGUCUGAGCUGGAAACCGUGGACACCAGAUUGUGUGGCAGACACAAGUAGGACUGGACCACGUUAGAAGAACAUUUAGGGUAAAGUUGUGUGACUUUUCCCUUCACUUCCUCCUGCUUCCUCCCUGUUCAUCACCGUUUCUUGCUAUCUCCACCCUCUUUACCCAGUUUGCUUUGAAGGGAGGAAAUCUGCACUUUUGCACAAGCUGCAAAAGCCAUCUGAGAAGACAGAUUUUCACUGCAUGGAGAAGGUGGUGGGGGUGAGGAGUUUUUAUGCCUCUGCAUCAUUUCCUUUCAGUUACUGAUCUGAAUAGUGCUGUUUCUGCACAUAUCCGUCCUUUUCUCUUCCACACAUCAUCACUGGAAUGGAUCUUAGUACUCUGAAGCUCAUCACAGCUUUUGCUCUCAUCACUGCUGGCAUGGCAGAAAAAGAUGAAUUCUCCCAACCGACCAGUACUCUCAGCCCUAACUGCUCCUGCUCUGAUACUACUCCUGCAGUUCCCCGCUCCACCUCCAGCAGCUCUGAGCUCAUUAUGGGUCUCCUCAGAAUGAACUGGACAAAGAGGUGUGAAGGCACCCUCUAUAUCUACCCAGACAGUCUAUUCAAUGACUCCUCUCUUCCCCUUUGUUACAGUCCUCAUAUCAACAUCUUGAGGAUUGUUGAAAAUGUGUGUCAGAAUGAGAGAGGCUGUAAAUAUGAUCCACACUGGCAGGAUGCUAGCCGGAUCAAGGCUGAAGGUUUCGACAUAACAGAGACGGGAGCGAACAGGGUGUCUCACUGCAAGACAUUCAGUCUGAAGUGCAAAGAGGUGCUCCCAGAUGUGCAGACGGAGCUGCAGGCCUAUAAAGUUGUGACAGCUUUGUUUAUCUGCCUGCUUCUGCUCCUCCUGUUCCUGCGGUUUAUCAGACCCACCGUCAAAGCCUUGAGAAAGAGAUUGUCAGACAGGAGGCAGCAUCACUGGGUUGGACCUACACAGAGUCACAGCGGUGAGACACUUUUAACACUUCUUGUUUUUGAGCUUGGACAACUGUUGGAUAAUCCUCAUUCUCUGCUCAUCCGGGGUCGGAUCACAGGAUCAGCAGCCUAAGUAGGGAGCCCCAGACUUCCCAGCUCCUCUGGGAGAAUCCUAAGGUGUUUCCUGGCCCCUGUCUGUGCUCUGAGUUGUCCUCACAUAUGAGUGUGACUAUGGCAGAGUCACCAGAGACCUUCUGUAGAUGGCAGCCUGGCCAGUUGUCUUUAGCUUAGAGGGUUUGUGCCCCAGCACUGCAGACCAGCUUGUCAGAGACACAACCUGUGGUCUAGCAAACUGUGAGUGUUCUGAGUCAGUAUCCACGGUGACACGCGGUGGUCCACUUCUGCCAUCGGGAGGAGGUUCGGUUUGGUUAUUAAAGAGCAAGUAACGUCUAAAUUAGGGUUAGGGUUAGGGUUAAACUAACUGAACUUUUUUUUGCUGAUGAACUGUAUAAAUGAGUGUCUAAUAGUGUUUUAAAUAUGUGUAUUCAUUAUUUUAGCAUUUUGGUGCAUUUUCUUUAAAAAUUAAAAAUUCUGCCUAAAUACCACAGUAUAGCGCCACCUUCAGCUUAAAACAUAGAGUUUGAGUCAUUUUGAAUACACUUUAGCCAAUGGCUAAAGAGUAAGAUACUACGUAAACCAGUAGAGUACUACGUAGCAGCUCUGUGUCAAAGUUGUAAAGCAUGGAGAGUCUCGGCCACGCCUUGUGGCGAGUUGGGAGUUGGAUUUGCAAGCGAGUGUAGGAGGUUAGCCGUAGUUCAGCAUUAGCAUAUAGCAUUAGCAUAUCCUAGUCUUUAGCAUAGCUUUUAGUGUUAUACAUACUUAUUUAGUGUUUGCUUGGCUGUUGGAUAUUGUAGUUUAGUUAGUGUUUGGCUGUUAGUGUAAUUAGAAAAGUAGUUCGGGUUUAGUGCUCCAUAUCGUGUUAGUAUGGUGAGAAGGUGUAGUGUAGUGUGGUUGCGGUGGCUCUGUGGGGUUGUACUCCUUUCCGCUGGACUUAGACAUUAGACGCCAGUGAUUGCGCGCAAUCGGUGUCUGGAAAACAGUCAGCUCCCGCCUGGUGCUGUGGUUUGCAACCAGCAUUUUACCCGUGAUUCUUUCGCCAACAUGAUGGAGUUUGAACUGGGUUGUUCUGCACGUCUCCGUUUGAAGAGGGAGGCUGUGCCCACCGUGGCUCUUCCGCGAUUUAGAUGCAGCCCACCGACUUUGCUCCCCCACCAUGACGGGCUCCAGUCUGAGGUGAGUACGCUAAAUAAAAGUUUUAACAUCUUCUAAAGACAAUUCCCUACCUAAAUGCAAAGUUUGCGAGACGUGGUUCACUUCAUUUAGCUAAUAUCAGUCUGCACUGCCUUCGGGCUGAUUUGUCAAGUUCACAAAAUGUGGAAUGGGAUGUAAGGUUAGAAUCAGCGGCGAAUCGGAACAUUCUCGAAGCCCUGGCCGACGAAACGGUCCACAUGACUAUUACUGUCAGGCUCGGAGAAAAUUCGGGUUGUUUUUGUGUCAGUCGGUAAUUCUGCAACAGUGACUGUAACUAACGCAGCACUAGCUGACAGACAGCAUUACAGCUUGUGACCCGGUUCUGUGAGGAAUUCUGUUCAGGAGGUCGCAUUUCAGGCUCUCCACAUCAUAUGUGACUGACAUUUACGUUAUAACGAUCACACACUAGGAAUGUUAUAAAGCGCCUAUAUGGGACAGUUUCUUUUGUAUAUUAUCUGACUUUAUAAACUCCAACAACAAUGUGCUUCUAUUUUUUUCAGGCUAAAUCUACCCAAGACACUGGCUGUCAGACUGAUUUAGUAGUCUGCAAGAAUGCACUUGUCCAGGCUGACGUGAAGCCUAACCAGCGUAGCAAUGAGCUCACAGCCGCAGUGUGUCUGGUGACACGGGGACCAUGACGGAAAUUCAUCUUCCAGAAAGUCCCAGAGCAACGUCCACACCCCUGAAAAGACCAAGAUGUGAGGUGUCUGCUGUUGAUUCCAGCUUCCACCUCAGUGACAGUGCAAGCUCAGUGAACUGUUCAAGGUAAAAAAAUUAAAACAUUUCAGAAUUUUUAAGAUAUUAACAAUUAAAUAAGUAUGUGAUUACAUCAUGACGUCAUGAAGGAGGCUACUGAUUCUGGCCCUGUGACACUUGGUGGUGACGUGUGAGCUGAUUCACCUGGUAAAUAACUUUUACAUUAAAUAUUUUGUUCUUUGCUAUCAAAAGUAAAUUAACUAAUAACCUGCAUUAUUGCAGGACACUCAGCAAAAUAUGGACUCUACACCAUGAGGCAGGCACACGUUAAUACUCUAUAAGAGCACAUAAGGUGAGCAACACCACAGAUUACUGUACACUGUCCUGGAUUUGUUUUCUUUCUGCAUCUCAUCAUUAGCCUGGCUGAUCACCUGAUACCUCCUGUCAUCUGGUUAUGACAGCAUGAGGAUGUCCUCACACACCUGUAACCUAUCAGCUCAUCUGGCAGAAUAGAGAGAGAAGAGACAACACCACAUCUCCUGUUCCUGGAAAGCCUUCAGCCAUCCUUUGAUGACUGAGAACGUCCAUCAGCUCUGUCUCCUGUCUGCCUACAAUUAUUAUAAUAAAUAUUGUGUUUGACAAGUUUUUGGUGCUGCCAAAUAUCUCAUUUUGAUUCCAGUUUUGAUAUUUUAAUGGAUAUUUAUAAAUUACAUUAAUUGAAUUAUCACAUUGUUGCAUGUUUAACUAGCUCUAUUGUGAUGAAUUAAACUAGCACCUCACUGUUAAAAGCUCAUUUUAAUUUCAAGCAUGUUUAAGUAUUUAUGGACAUGAACAAAAAUAGGAAAUAUAUAAAUUGAGAUUUAUUUAAUUUAUAUAACAAAUAAGGGGGAAAGAGUCAUUGAAAGGCACAUUCUUCUGGAAGCUCCUGAUCCUGACGACACCAGCAGGAGACCAGCUGCAGACACCAGAGGAUCACCUACGUCCAAGAGAGCAGCUGGUAUCCGUAAAUAAAUAAUGAAAUCAGGGCAGUUUUAGUGGGCUGAACACAUUACAGAAUAAUUUUCUCAUGGGGUAUUUUCAUAACUUUAUGCAGCAGACUGUAACUUAAGCCCAGGGCUACCGGAGAGCUGCUAUCCAGCACGUUUCAGUGGUUUUCCUGCUUUAACGGGUUAGAUUAGCUGUUAAGCAGCUCAGCUAUUUGCUGCUGAUUAAAACCAGGUGUGUUGAAGCAGAUAAACCUCUAAAACAUGCUGAAUACUAGCUCUAGGGCCGUGGAGCCAAACCCUGCAGCUAAUCCAAUGCUAUGGCUAAUGGCUACUUACCAUUCAGAGAUGGUUCUGUUGGGUCGGUUCCGGUAGUUUCAGGCAACUCACAAGCUCAAAACAAUGAGGCUCAGGUCCGCUUGUCUCCUCCAAAUAGACUUGGUCCCUUUCUUCUCGAGUGUCUGGGUAAGGAGGGGGAGAAACGUCCUCCACUACUGAUGACUGCUCAGAGUGAAGGGAGCUAGCAUCGUCUCCUUACCCAUCGUCUUCGUCACUGCCGCGGCUCCCUCCUCUCGGUCCGCCAGGCAACGCCUACUAAUGUUGCAGUUUUUAAAAUUGAUACGUGUGUGGAGAAGGACUCUGAGGCUCACUUGACCCGCUCUUUAAGGUUCUGACCUUGGCGGUCCACUUGAGUGUGUCACAAGUGGUGUUGUACCAUCAGAUUCGGUGACAAUAGGGGAGGAGCCUUGAAAAAUGGGUUGGACCUUUGAAUUGUUUUAGUUUUCUUCAAAUUGUAUCUUGCUUUUUUGUCCAAGAACGCAAACAUCCCCUACUGUCCACCUCCUUAAAUGCACUAAUGUUUUCCAUAUAUGUGCAGUGCUGAGUGAUCACGGUUCUCCACGUGAGCGUGGACAGUGAUAUAACUAUGCAGUGUCCUAUCUGAACCUCACAAACAUUCAGGCGUGACGCCGGCAUCGAGCCAUGUUGCUGUUGGGUUAAAAAGCAGGAAUGUGAGCCGACACGAGGAGCUGCAUACGUGCUCAGAUAAAACACGUGCAUCUUCAUUUCUUUAAUAUCUCUUUUUCAGGAAGUAAUCACAUAAGACCUGUGAAUGCUGUUAAUGUCUUUGAACGGCACCUCCUUCCUGGUUAGGUGUCAACACAGCACAGGCCAGCAGGUGUAGCCCAACAUGGCGGGUGGCGGUGGACAGAUACUUCUUGUCGUGUUUAAGUCACCAUUUUUACCUUGUCAGUAUCUUGUUUGGUUCUAAAGUAAAAGAGCUGUUAACAAAAUCAUUUAGUCAUUGCUGACGACAACAACACGGUCUCAGAGCAGACUCCCUGCAUCCGACGGCAGGUUGUGGUCCUCCAGCGGAGGGAGGGCUGAAGAGCUGUCAGCCUGAUGACAAGGAGGUGUGGUUGGAGUCCCCAGAGUAACAUGGAUUUACUUCGUCCCACAGUGUCCUACCAUCGAGGGAAAGCAGCAGUGAACACCACUGAUGGAGAGAAGAGACUAUCGUACCCAGCUCUAGAGCGUCUGAUGAUCAGUGACAGCAGUGAUGCUUGAUCCUACCUCCGCCCUCCUGAUGAUCAGCUCCUAAACCUAGAAAUAAACGCCAUAGCCACUACCCCCCCCCCCCCCCCCCAAAAUUGCAAAAUAAAAUUAUGGAAACCGCUAAUGUCGUUAGGUCCAUUUUAGGGGGGGCUUCAGCCCCCCCUAAAAUAAUCACAAGCCCCUCUGUCAUUAUUUUUUUAUUUAAUUUUUUUUCUGUUAACUUUUUUAUUUGUUCACAUCUACACGCUCAACACAAUCAUGACACAUGUGAAGCUGGUGCAAAUCUCUCCCUGCUCUCCUCAACAAGUAGCCUCUCCACCAGCCAAUCACAGACAGCUCUUUUUUAUCCAAUCAAAGCAUGUCCAGGAAAUACUGCUUUACAGAAAAACACCCAUUUAACAGCUUAUUGAACUGCUUUCUGCUGCUGGUUAGCUACCAGUCACCAUCCACUGCCUGCAAGAUACUUUGUUGUAAUUCAUGUGUCAUGAUUAGGGUGACUUCCAGAAAAGACACAUUGCCCAUUCCUAAAACUGUUAAAUUGCACUCUUUUCAGUUAAAGAGGACUUUUAAUUUCAACAUAUAAAGUGUUUCUUCUCUGUUUGGUCAGACAUAAAUGAAAUAGGUGGAUUGGUGCUGCAUCUGCAGUGAUGUGGGCGUUGUACCGGUCUGUCGUGGUGAAGAGAGAGCUGAGUCAGAAGGCGACGCUCUCGAUUUACCGGUCGGUCUACGUUCCUACCCUCACCUAUGGUCAUGAGCUUUGGGUAGUGACCGAAAGAACGAGAUCGCAGAUACAAGCGGCCGAAAUGAGUUUUCUCCGGAGUGGCUGGGCUCUCCCUUAGAGAUAGGGUGAGAAACUCGGUCAUCCGGAGGGGCUCUGAGUAGACCCGCUGCUCCUCCACAUCGAGAGGAGCCAGUUGAGGUGGCUCGGGCAUCUGGUCAGGAUGCCUCCUGUCUGCCUCCCUGAGGAGGUUUUCCGGGCACGUCCAACCAGGAGGAGACCUAAUGGGAGAUCCAGGACACGUUGGAGGGACUAUGUCUCUCACCUGGCCAGGGAACACCUUGGGAUUCCCCCGGAGGAGCUGGCUCAAGUGGCUGGGGAGAGGGAAGUCUGGGCCUCUCACCUUAGGCUACUGCCCCCAUGACCCGACUCCGGAUAAGCGGAUGAAAAUGGAUGGAUGGAUGGAAAACGUAUCUUCUGCCUUUUAGCCCUAACAUCACUGUUACAUAUACAUAAAAAUAUUAUUCUUGUUAUAAUAUAUUUCUUGUAUAUAUUUUAUUUGAAUUCAACACGAAGAAGCAAACAGCAAAAGCUUUACUAUUUCACGGUUCCUCUCAAGUCAUCGCAACAUAACUCAGUAGUGGCUCUGAUCGCAUUAAUAACACAGACAGGCCCACAAUAAUAAAAACAUGCUGGUUUAAGCAGUUUUUCAGAGUUUUCAUUGAAUGUUUUCCACAACAGAAUGACAGUAAAAGUACCAGUAAUAUUUUUUAGAUCUAUUUAUGUUUGUUUUUAAUUCAUUUUCCACUAAAAUCAGCAUCUCAUUGAAAAAAAUCCACACUUUUUUGCUAUUUUUUAUAAUUCAGAAACAAAACGUUUUUUUAACAAGACAACAAAUCUCUUCUAAUUUUAGGUGAAAGAAUAAACAUCAGAUUCUAAUCUCUAAAUAUUUCAGAUCUAAUCUAAUAAUAGAGUUUCUUAGAGUUUGUUUUUGCCUCAAAUAUCUGAGAAUAAAUGAUCAAAGCUUCCAUUUAUUCUCAUUACGUCUUCACUGCUUUAAGGGGCUCAGCAUGUGGCAGGUAUCUGACACCGCAGCACCUGUCUGUGUUAGAGCCUCCAUGGUGUUUAUCGUUGUAAUGCUAAUAAAGGCCAUUUUUAUUAUUACCACUACUGGUGACCAAUAAGUGGUGAUACUCUAUUUAACUAGAAUAUCUCCUGCUUGGUCUUCUUGUUUUAGUCUGAAGAUUCUAGGAUUCUUUCAUUCAUUAAGGGAUCGUACGCACGUCGUUGGAUUCAAGAAACAGUCAGGUUUAUAAAAUUCAAGAGUUUAUUUUACAAACAAUUAAGACUUGACAAACUGGUUAAACUAUUGUACUGUGAGAGGAUGGAACUAAGGACGGUGUCUGGAACUUAUGUGUGAAUAUAAUGAAUUCAGAGUCUCCGUAUCUCAGAAAUCGGAGUUCUGGAUGGAAAGAAUUUGGUUUGCAAAUAAGCUAGAAAGAUAUCAUCAAAACCACAUACAGACGCUAUCUCGCUGUGUUCUGCCUCACCCGUUCUGAAGACCCCCGAUUGGAUCCGAGAUGUCAAGGAGCCGGCGACCCCACUGCACGUGGUUCAUAGAACAAACCUCGAUGCAACCAAAUCCGUCCUGGGAUGUCCCCGGGUCACAACGAUAGAUGAAAACGAGCGUCUUAAACAACUCUGAAGGAGUUUGCGUCAGCUUGUACUGCAGAUACUAUCGUGUUGUUCUCAGCUUCGCAGGUGCGAAAAAGGUUUAAGGUUUGGACAACGUGUCAAAAUCCUUCUGGUGAAAGAGGCUUUCGCUCAGAUAGCCGGUCUGAAGCGUUUCUCUGGAACCCUCGAACUGUUGAACUGUUCGAACUGAGGGGAAAACCAGAGCUGGCUAGUUUUAUGGUGGACUAGCCAACCACAGGUUGACACGUUUGAAGAUAUCACCAGGCAUCUCAGAACACACCCUCUUUGACCUGGACACUCUGAAUCUGGGCAAAAGGUUAACUAUGUGUCAUGGGUUAUCCUGACUUUACUUUGUUUUUGUAUGAGUGUGCAAAUGGUGAUGACCUCAUCCAGUAAACACGCUAAGCAUAUAUCAUUAAACAGAUCAAUGGACAUUUCAUUGUAUAAAAUUAUAAAAUCUUAUUUCUUCUGGGAAUAAAGGAGUUCGUUUAAAAGAGUUUCUCUGUGAAAGACCUUGGAGGAGAGAGAAUGCUAUUGUUUAUCCGUUAUUAUCUCUCAGGCUCUGAUUCCAGCUGGUGUGAGGAAGCAGCUCUGAUUAAAGGGACUACGUGUAGACUUCCAGUCUCCUGUGAGGGGAAAAUAUUG